UUCGGGUCGCCGGCGAGUGGCAAACGGGUGAGUAACACGUGGAUACCUGUCCUGUGGUGGGGAAUAACGUUUAGAAAUGAACGCUAAUACCGCAUAAGCCCUGCGGGGGAAAGAUUUAUCGCCAUAGGAGGGGUCCGCGUCGGAUUAGCUAGUUGGUGGGGUAACGGCCUACCAAGGCGACGAUCCGUAGCUGGUCUGAGAGGAUGAUCAGCCACACUGGGACUGAGACACGGCCCAGACUCCUACGGGAGGCAGCAGUGGGGAAUAUUGCGCAAUGGAGGAAACUCUGACGCAGCGACGCCGCGUGGGUGAAGAAGGCCUUAGGGUUGUAAAGCCCUUUCAGUGGGAAAGAUGAUGACGGUACCCACAGAAGAAGCCCCGGCUAACUCCGUGCCAGCAGCCGCGGUAAUACGGAGGGGGCCAGCGUUGUUCGGAAUUACUGGGCGUAAAGGGCGCGUAGGCGGUUGAUCAAG
rnacentral:rRNA from 1 species